AGAGUUAAACAGUACGUGAAAUUGUUGAAAGGGAAACGUUUGAAACCAGUCAUGUUGGCAGAAAAUCAGCCGUCUUUGCUGACUGCCCCGGGCGUGUGGAGCGCAAGCCUACUGUUCGGGUCUAGAAGGUUGAGGUUGGUGUACUUUUCUGUUAGCAGGUCAACAUCAGUUUGGCUCGCCGGACAAAAGUUGGAGGAAUGUGGCUCCUUGUGAGUGUUAUAGCCUCCUUCCCAUACGGUGGGCUGGACUGAGGACUGCAGCUUGUGCCUUUCGGGGCGGGGUGCUUCGUCGCUGUCUGUAACCGAGUGACAAUCUGCGUGCAGAUUGUUACUUGAAUUGCGGGCAAUCGGUGAAUGUUACUACUUCCAAGCUUAGGAUGUUGACUUAAUGGCUUUAAACGACC
rnacentral:ncRNA from 2 species